UACGGGGGGAGCAAGCGUUGUUCGGAAUUACUGGGCGUAAAGGGCGCGUAGGCGGCCUUCUAAGUCGAACGUGAAAUCCCCGGGCUCAACCCGGGAACUGCGUCCGAUACUGGGAGGCUUGAAUCCGGGAGAGGGAUGUGGAAUUCCAGGUGUAGCGGUGAAAUGCGUAGAGAUGUGGAGGAACACCGAUGGCGAAGGCAGCCCCCUGGGUCAAGACUGACGCUCAUGCACGAAAGCGUGGGGAGCAAACAGG
rnacentral:rRNA from 1 species